rnacentral:misc_RNA from 1 species
AGCAGCCGCGGUAAUUCCAGCUCCAAUAGCGUAUAUUAAAGUUGUUGCAGUUAAAAAGCUCGUAGUUGAAUUUCGGAAUCAGUAUGUUGGUCGUGCUUCGGUACGUACUGUCAUUACUGGUUUCUACCUUCUGAAGAACCUUGAUGUCAUUAAUUUGGUGUCUUGGGGAAUCAGGACUGUUACUUUGAAAAAUUAGAGUGUUUAAAGCAAGCAUACGCUUGAAUACAUUAGCAUGGAAUAAUGAAAUAGGACGUUUGAUUCUAUUUUGUUGGUUUCUAGGAUCGACGUAAUGAUUAAUAGGGAUAGUUGGGGGCAUUAGUAUUCAAUUGUCAGAGGUGAAAAUUCUUGGAUUUAUUGAAGACUAACUACUGCGAAAGCAUUUGCCAAGGAUGUUUUCAUUAAUCAAGAACGAAAGUUAGGGGAUCGAAGACGAUCAGAUACCGUCGUAGUCUUAACCAUAAACUAUGCCGACUAGGGAUCGGAUGAUGUAUUUUUAAUGA